AUGAAAAUAUGGAAGCAUGUAAGCACAGAGCUACAGCUUUCACAAAAAAGCAUCGACCAUUUCAAAACGGUCAAACUGCAGGUGCCACUUCAAGGAGAAGACGCAAUGGACUGCGCAUUCUAUAUGUACAUGAACCUGAAACACUACUCCAAUGAUGGAACAGCAGCAACCUUAGAGCCAGAACAAGUACCAGAGUUGAGGAAAAAAAUUCUAUAUCAACUAAUCAGUCAACACAGAGGGAAUACCAAACUGUCAUUAAUCAAGUGUACAACAGAUAUGCUGAAGUAUGAAGUCGAUAUGGGAGACAAAGAAAUGUAA
rnacentral:rRNA from 1 species